UCCGUUAUGGUGUAGUGGCUAACAUUAUCGCCUCUCAUCUAUGUCAACCGGCGGUGACGCGAUAGCCCAGGGUUCGAUUCCCUGUAACGGAA